UACAGAGGGUGCGAGCGUUAAUCGGAAUUACUGGGCGUAAAGCGUGCGUAGACGGUUAUUUAAGUCGGGUGUGAAAGCCCCGGGCUCAACCUGGGAAUUGCAUUCGAGACUGAAUAGCUAGGGUACGGUAGAGGGAAGCGGAAUUUCCGGUGUAGCGGUGAAAUGCGUAGAUAUCGGAAGGAACAUCAGUGGCGAAAGCGGCUUCCUGGACCAGUACCGACGUUCAGGCACGAAAGCGUGGGGAGCGAACAGG
rnacentral:rRNA from 1 species